UCUAGGUCAUUAUUACAGAGAUUUCAGUAAUAAUCCCCGAUUUCUGAAACCCACAUUUGAAGACAGCAGUGUAUUUCAGUGUUUGGUAGGGGAAUACUGUCAUUUACAUCUCUGGACAUCAAAGUUGUUGACACAAACCAGUUGUCCAGUUCUGAAAUCUGACGUAAGCUUUGACAGCGGUGUGUUCAUUAUUCCACCAUUAAAUCAAACUUUUUUCCCGUGCAUGUAUGAUGUUGUGCUUAGAAUGGA